rnacentral:lncRNA from 1 species
AUACUGGGCCCAGCCAGAUUCUCUGGGUGCUUUCUUCUUUCUUAGUUCCCCCUUUAUUGUGGGCCCUCCUCAGUGCCAACAUUGCUUUGUCUCUCGCUGGAGAAGCCUGUGAGAACGAGGAUGGGCAAAGUGUCAGGCUCUUGGUGCAGCUGAAAAUCCUUUGAGAUGGAAGAAAUGGCUGGAACAAAGGGGCAGAGGAACAAAAAGCCCUGAACUGCUUCGCCCCUGCCUCGUGGGGUCUUUAUCAUCUUAAACCUUGGGAUUUGGGCUUUGAUCAACUCGGCCUUCCUGGGCCUCGGGGAGAGAGACGGACUGCCUCCGGGUGCUCAUGACCUUUCCAGCAGUAAGCCAAUAAUGUAUGACUCCUGCGUUGCCGUUGCUCGUUUGAGGAACAUCUGUCCAGUCCCUGGGAUGGUGAGGCUAUAACCACAAAGGAAUAAGAGAAGACGACUAGUUUUGUAAUGGGGACAUUGGCUGCUGUCUUCUGACCCACCCUGUGUGGCUUUGGCGUCUCCUGUGACCUCCCAGUAUGGGUCUUGGCCUCAUCCUGCCUCUUUGUCUUUCUGGCCCACCACCCACAGCUUGAAUCUCAGGCUCCAACAGUUGCCUGACCCCCAGAUUCUGAUGACAGCCUACCUACUUGUUCUUCAGGCCCUCACCAGACUCACUGCCCAGACACACCACACAGGAGAACAUGAAAGGCUUUGAAUGAUGCAUUGGCCCACGUGGACCACCUUCCAUUUCCCAAGACUUUUUGAAGGCAAUGAAUGAGAAGAAAGCAGAGAAAACAGUGGGCGUGAGGUCAGAUGACUCAGGCUUGAGUACUGAUCACAUCAAGGAUUGGACGCACUGCUCUUAGGAAGGCACAACUUCUACUACUUUCAGUCUUAUCAACUGUGAGAGUGUACCCUUGCUGUAGAUGCCACCCGCCCAGCAGUCCUCAUCAUCUUGGCCCAGGAUCACCUGAAACAGAUGAUCCUCCUUUUGAGCUACCAUCAGAAGGUCCACAGUACUAGCCCAGCGCUACAUCCCAAUGCCUACGCCAUUCAUCUCACCUCAUCUCAUCACGUAGACAUUUCAUCAUGUCACAUCAUCACAAGAAGG